rnacentral:lncRNA from 1 species
ACUUUACAGAGAACAAACUUGAACAGACAAAGCCUCUUCUCCUGGCUGUUGUUGGCUUUCUAAGAAGAUCUGUCUCGGGAUUUCAGGAGUGCCACAGUAAGGGAGGGUACUGUUACCGUUACUAUUGUCCUCGCCCUCACAGAAGACUGGGUAGCUGUUACCCAUAUGCGGCAAACUGCUGCAGGAGGAGAAGAUGACUGGAAGGAAGCACAUGGAAGUCAAGUGACAGAUGUGUAACUGAUGUUUUAAUAAAGGAAACAUUUAAGCAGAUAAGCUUAUCUGCUUCAGAUCCUAUUGAAA